UACGGGGGGAGCAAGCGUUGUUCGGAUUUACUGGGCGUAAAGGGCGCGUAGGCGGCCACCGCAAGUCGACUGUGAAAUCUCCGGGCUUAACCCGGAAAGGUCAGCCGAUACUGCGGGGCUAGAGUGCAGAAGGGGCAACUGGAAUUCUCGGUGUAGCGGUGAAAUGCGUAGAUAUCGAGAGGAACACCUGCGGCGAAGGCGGGUUGCUGGGCUGACACUGACGCUGAGUGAGCGAAAGCCAGGGGAGCAAACGGG
rnacentral:rRNA from 1 species